rnacentral:rRNA from 1 species
GACGGGGGGGGGCAAGUGUUCUUCGGAAUGACUGGGCGUAAAGAGCUCGUAGGCGGUUGUUCACGUCGGAUGUGAAAGCUCAGGGCUCAACCCUGAGAGGCCAUUCGAUACGGGGACGACUAGAGGUAGGUAGGGGAGUCUGGAAUUCCUGGUGUAGCGGUGAAAUGCGCAGAUAUCAGGAGGAACACCGGUGGCGAAGGCGGGACUCUGGGCCGAUGACUGACGCUGAGGAGCGAAAGCGUGGGAGCAAACAGG